rnacentral:rRNA from 1 species
GACGAACGCUGGCGGCGUGGAUUAGGCAUGCAAGUCGAACGGUAGGAUACCUUCGGGUAUCUGAGAGUGGCGAACGGGUGAGUAACACGUAGGUGAUCUACCCUCAAGAUUGGGACAACCCAGGGAAACUUGGGCUAAUACCGGAUGAAAGCAGCAGUGAUGUUGUUUGAAAGGUGGCGUAAGCUGCCGUUUGGGGAUGAGCCUGCGCUCUAUUAGUUAGUUGGCGGGGUAAAGGCCCACCAAGGCGAUGAUAGAUAGGCGGCCUUAACGGGUGGUCGCCCACACUGGGAUUGAGAUACGGCCCAGACUCCUACGGGAGGCAGCAGUCGAGAAUAGUCUACAAUGGUCGGAAGACUGAUAGUGCGACGCCGCGUGAACGAUGAAUCCCUUCGGGGUGUAAAGUUCUUUUAUAUGUGAGCAGUGCUUCUUAUAUUAACAGUAUGGGGAGAGAGAUAUUAGCAUAUGAAUAAGCAACGGCUAACUCCGUGCCAGCAGCCGAC